rnacentral:lncRNA from 1 species
GCGCAAGUUGGUCACACCUUUCUUGAAUAAUCUAAAUAGUCUCAGUUGGCAGGGGAAAACCAGAAUGAGAUCAGGGAGACCAAGGAAAGGAAGUAAUUUCAAGAAGUAAGAGGAAGUCAUCAGGAUCAAAUAUACUAACAAUGUUGAAGAAAUGAAAGAAAAACUUCCAAUGGACUUGAUCCGUGAACCUGAAGACAUAGCAACAGAAACUAUCCCAGUGGAAGCACAGAAAAUUGAAAAAAAGAUUGGAAAAGAGAAGAGACAGUGACUCAGUGACUUGUGGAACAAUAUCAAGCAGUCUAAAUUCCAUGUAAUAAAAGACUUCUUGUAUAGAAACUGGACAGGUAAGAAGACAAUGGAAUGACCUACUGAAAACAGGAGAAACAAGUAAGGUGCAUAUAUGCUAUAAAAACAUGUUUAAAUAAAGUUUGUAAAGUUGUUUCAUGUUUAUGGUGUGAAUAGUAAUGUGAAGAGAAGGCCUGAAUGAAGGGGAGAAAGAUUCUGUGCAUGAGAGAAAUAGGUAUUGAAUAAUCUUUAGUAUGUU